rnacentral:rRNA from 1 species
GACGAACGCUGGCGGCGUGCUUAACACAUGCAAGUCGAACGAUGAAGCUGGAGCUUGCUCCGGUGGAUUAGUGGCGAACGGGUGAGUAACACGUGAGCAAUCUGCCCUUGACUCUGGGAUAACUGCGGGAAACUGUAGCUAAUACCGGAUACGAGGCUCGAAGGCAUCUUCGGGUCUGGAAAGAAUUUCGGUCAAGGAUGAGCUCGCGGCCUAUCAGCUUGUUGGUGAGGCAAGGGCUCACCAAGGCGACGACGGGUAGCCGGCCUGAGAGGGUGACCGGCCACACUGAGACUGAGACACGGCCCAGACUCCUACGGGAGGCAGCAGUGGGGAAUAUUGCACAAUGGGCGAAAGCCUGAUGCAGCAACGCCGCGUGAGGGAUGAAGGCCUUCGUGUUGUAAACCUCUUUUAGCAGGGAAGAAGCGAAAGUGACGGUACCUGCAGAAAAAGCACCGGCUAACUACGUGCCAGCCGCCGCCGUAA